rnacentral:tRNA from 1 species
UCCCUGAUGGCUCAGUUGGUAAAGAAUCCAUCUGCAAUGCGGGAGACCCAGGUUCGAUCCCUGGGUUGGGAA